rnacentral:rRNA from 1 species
GACGAACGCUGGCGGCGUGCUUAACACAUGCAAGUCGAACGGCAAGGCCCUGCUUUUGUGGGGUGCUCGAGUGGCGAACGGGUGAGUAACACGUGAGUAACCUGCCCUUGACUUUGGGAUAACUUCAGGUAACUGGGGCUACUACCGGAUCGGAGCUCCUGCUGCAUGGUGGGGGUUGGAAAGUCUCGGCGGGUGUGGAUGGACUCGCGGCUUAUCAGCUUGUUGGUGGGGUAGUGGCUUACCAAGGCUUUGACGGGUAGCCGGCCUGUGAGGGUGACCGGCCACAAUGGGACUGAGAGACGGACCAGACGCCUACGGGAGGCAGCAGUGGGGAAUAUGGCACAAUGGGAGGAAGCCGGAUGCAGCAACGCCGCGUGCGGGAUGACGGCCUUCGGGUUGAAAACCGCUGUCGCCUGUGACGAAGCGUGAGUGACGGUAAUGGGAAAAGAAGCACCGGCUAACUACGUG